rnacentral:rRNA from 1 species
UACAGAGGUCUCAAGCGUUGUUCGGAAUCACUGGGCGUAAAGGGUGCGUAGGCGGCGGAGUAAGUCGGAUGUGAAAUUUGGAGGCUCAACCUCCAACUUGCAUCUGAUACUGCUUCGCUAGAGACCUGGAGAGGAGUGUGGAAUUCUCGGUGUAGCAGUGAAAUGCGUAGAUUUCGAGAAGAACGCUCGCAGCGAAAGCGAAACUCUGGACAGCGUCUGACGCUGAGGCACGAAGGCUAGGGGAGCAAACGGG